UUUGCAAAUUCGUGAAAAAUUGUGAAGUUGUUGAAUUGAAGUUUUCAAGUGUUCAAGUUCAACGAUUUUAAAUUUUCAAAAAGUUGUUCGUCAAUCCGGUAAACUCGUUUCAACUUUUACGUGCUAAUUAUUAUGGCAUUAUCUCAAUGGGGUGGUUCGAAUAAGGCAGGAUUUAAAGUAGUGCCUUCAAACACUAAGAACUCCGUUCAUCUUGAUGGUGUGUUCAACAUUGUAUCGUACGACAUAGUCCCUGAGCUUCAAGAACUCCAAGGAACAAGAAGAAGCGUUCACCACAGGGGAUAACUGAGUUAAGUCAUGUUCAGGGAAUAAAUAUAUUGUGUAUAAAUAGUGUAUAUU
rnacentral:lncRNA from 1 species